rnacentral:rRNA from 1 species
GGGUUGUGAGGUUAAGCGACUAAGCGUACACGGUGGAUGCCCUGGCAGUCAGAGGCGAUGAAGGACGUGCUAAUCUGCGAAAAGCGUCGGUAAGGUGAUAUGAACCGUUAUAACCGGCGAUGUCCGAAUGGGGAAACCCAGUGUGAUUCGUCACACUAUCGUUAACUGAAUACAUAGGUUAACGAGGCGAACCGGGGGAACUGAAACAUCUAAGUACCCCGAGGAAAAGAAAUCAACCGAGAUUCCCCCAGUAGCGGCGAGCGAACGGGGAGCAGCCCAGAGUCUGAAUCAGCUUGUGUGUUAGUGGAACGGUCUGGAAAGUCCGACGGUACAGGGUGAUAGUCCCGUACACCAAAAUGCACAGGCUGUGAACUCGAAGAGUAGGGCGGGACACGUGGUAUCCUGUCUGAAUAUGGGGGGACCAUCCUCCAAGGCUAAAUACUCCUGACUGACCGAUAGUGAACCAGUACCGUGAGGGAAAGGCGAAAAGAACCCCGGCGAGGGGAGUGAAAAAGAACCUGAAACCGUGUACGUACAAGCAGUGGGAGCACCUUCGGGUGUGACUGCGUACCUUUUGUAUAAUGGGUCAGCGACUUAUAUUCUGUAGCAAGGUUAACCGUAUAGGGGAGCCGCAGGGAAACCGAGUCUUAACUGGGCGUUAAGUUGCAGGGUAUAGACCCGAAACCCGGUGAUCUAGCCAUGGGCAGGUUGAAGGUUGGGUAACACUAACUGGAGGACCGAACCGACUAAUGUUGAAAAAUUAGCGGAUGACUUGUGGCUGGGGGUGAAAGGCCAAUCAAACCGGGAGAUAGCUGGUUCUCCCCGAAAGCUAUUUAGGUAGCGCCUCGUGAACUCAUCUUCGGGGGUAGAGCACUGUUUCGGCUAGGGGGUCAUCCCGACUUACCAACCCGAUGCAAACUACGAAUACCGAAGAAUGUUAUCACGGGAGACACACGGCGGGUGCUAACGUCCGUCGUGAAGAGGGAAACAACCCAGACCGCCAGCUAAGGUCCCAAAGUCAUGGUUAAGUGGGAAACGAUGUGGGAAGGCACAGACAGCCAGGAUGUUGGCUUAGAAGCAGCCAUCAUUUAAAGAAAGCGUAAUAGCUCACUGGUCGAGUCGGCCUGCGCGGAAGAUGUAACGGGGCUAAACCAUGCACCGAAGCUGCGGCAGCGACACUAUGUGUUGUUGGGUAGGGGAGCGUUCUGUAAGCCUGCGAAGGUGUGCUGUGAGGCAUGCUGGAGGUAUCAGAAGUGCGAAUGCUGACAUAAGUAACGAUAAAGCGGGUGAAAAGCCCGCUCGCCGGAAGACCAAGGGUUCCUGUCCAACGUUAAUCGGGGCAGGGUGAGUCGACCCCUAAGGCGAGGCCGAAAGGCGUAGUCGAUGGGAAACAGGUUAAUAUUCCUGUACUUGGUGUUACUGCGAAGGGGGGACGGAGAAGGCUAUGUUAGCCGGGCGACGGUUGUCCCGGUUUAAGCAUGUAGGCUGGUUGUCCAGGCAAAUCCGGAUAAUCAAGGCUGAGGUGUGAUGACGAGGCACUACGGUGCUGAAGUAACAAAUGCCCUGCUUCCAGGAAAAGCCUCUAAGCAUCAGGUAACAUCAAAUCGUACCCCAAACCGACACAGGUGGUCAGGUAGAGAAUACCAAGGCGCUUGAGAGAACUCGGGUGAAGGAACUAGGCAAAAUGGUGCCGUAACUUCGGGAGAAGGCACGCUGGUGUGUAGGUGAAGUCCCUGCGGAUGGAGCUGAGACCAGUCGAAGAUACCAGCUGGCUGCAACUGUUUAUUAAAAACACAGCACUGUGCAAACACGAAAGUGGACGUAUACGGUGUGACGCCUGCCCGGUGCCGGAAGGUUAAUUGAUGGGGUUAUCCGUAAGGAGAAGCUCUUGAUCGAAGCCCCGGUAAACGGCGGCCGUAACUAUAACGGUCCUAAGGUAGCGAAAUUCCUUGUCGGGUAAGUUCCGACCUGCACGAAUGGCGUAAUGAUGGCCAGGCUGUCUCCACCCGAGACUCAGUGAAAUUGAACUCGCUGUGAAGAUGCAGUGUACCCGCGGCAAGACGGAAAGACCCCGUGAACCUUUACUAUAGCUUGACACUGAACAUUGAGCCUUGAUGUGUAGGAUAGGUGGGAGGCUUUGAAGCGUGGACGCCAGUCUGCGUGGAGCCAACCUUGAAAUACCACCCUUUAAUGUUUGAUGUUCUAACGUUGGCCCCUGACCGGGGUUGCGGACAGUGUCUGGUGGGUAGUUUGACUGGGGCGGUCUCCUCCCAAAGCGUAACGGAGGAGCACGAAGGUUAGCUAAUCCUGGUCGGACAUCAGGAGGUUAGUGCAAUGGCAUAAGCUAGCUUGACUGCGAGCGUGACGGCGCGAGCAGGUGCGAAAGCAGGUCAUAGUGAUCCGGUGGUUCUGAAUGGAAGGGCCAUCGCUCAACGGAUAAAAGGUACUCCGGGGAUAACAGGCUGAUACCGCCCAAGAGUUCAUAUCGACGGCGGUGUUUGGCACCUCGAUGUCGGCUCAUCACAUCCUGGGGCUGAAGUAGGUCCCAAGGGUAUGGCUGUUCGCCAUUUAAAGUGGUACGCGAGCUGGGUUUAGAACGUCGUGAGACAGUUCGGUCCCUAUCUGCCGUGGGCGCUGGAGAAUUGAGGGGGGCUGCUCCUAGUACGAGAGGACCGGAGUGGACGCAUCACUGGUGUUCGGGUUGUCAUGCCAAUGGCACUGCCCGGUAGCUAAAUGCGGAAGAGAUAAGUGCUGAAAGCAUCUAAGCACGAAACUUGCCCCGAGAUGAGUUCUCCCUGAGACUUUAAGUCUCCUGAAGGAACGUUGAAGACGACGACGUUGAUAGGCCGGGUGUGUAAGCGCAGCGAUGCGUUGAGCUAACCGGUACUAAUGAACCGUGAGGCUUAACCUUACAACGCCGAAG